UCCUCUCCAGAGGUAAACUGAACCUAAUCCAGAUUUGAGGGUCAUCCCACCUCACAGUCUUAAUCGGGACACUUUUUAAAUUCUUCUUUAACAGGAAAUAUCCAGCAUAAACAGCCGGGGCGUGGGGAGGGAGGGGGGGAGGAAGAGGCGCCGUUAACGUAACGUCCGUGACGUCAGUCCGCCCGGGCUGCUGCUCCGCUGGGUUUACUACCACACUGUUGUAAGGACGGUCCUCAUCGGUGUUUACCGAGGAAUCGAUCAACUCGAUCGCAGCUUAAUCGCGGACCGAUAAGUGUGUGAUGAUGGAGAGGAAGAGGACAGACUGUCCCGCUCUGCCGCCCGGCUGGAAGAAAGAAGAAGUGAUCAGGAAGUCCGGACUGAGCGCUGGAAAAAGCGACGUCUACUACUACAGUCCUUCAGGGAAGAAAUUCAGGAGUAAGCCUCAGUUGUCCCGUUACCUUGGAAACACAGUGGAUUUGGGAUGUUUCGACUUCCGAACGGGGAAGAUGAUGCCUGGGAAAAUGCAGAAGAACAAACAGAGACUUCGACACGACCCGCUCAGCUUGGCCAAGGGAGGUAAGCCGGACCUGAACACAGUUCUGCCAAUCAGACAGACAGCAUCCAUCUUUAAACAGCCCGUUACCAAGAUUACGAGUCAUCCUGGUAAUAAGGUGAAGACAGACCCGCAGAGAGGGACCGAGCAGCCCAAACAGCUGUUUUGGGAGAGAAGGUUGAAAGGUCUGCGGUCAUCAGACGUUACAGAAGAAGUUCUGCGGACCAUUGACCUACCCAAGGGACUGCAGAGUGUCGGUCCAGACUCCAGUGAUGAGACUCUGCUCCUGGCUAUUGCAAGCGCUCUGCACAUGAGCUCUUCUCCAAUAACCGGUCAGACAUCUGUAGCUGCUGAGAAGAACCCGACCAUCUGGCUGAACACUGCCCAGCCUCUCUGCAAGGCAUUCACCAUCACUGACGAACACAUCCGAGAACAGGAGUUGAAAGUAUACCAGGCCAGGAGGAGUCUGGAGGAGGCUCUGAUGGCUGAUGGUUUGGCACGGACCGCCGAAAAUACUCGAGAGCUGCUGGAGGGGAAGGCGGCCUGAACAUGGAAAGCUGUGCCCCAGCCACGCUCAUCUCUACAUACCUUCACCGCCCGAAUUAUGCUGUGGCUCUGUCAUCCCUGUGUGGUAGCCCGCCGAGACCGAUUUGGUGCCAGUAUAGCCCUCUUCCAAGUCCCUGUGUUCAUCAGCCUCAGGUUCAUAAUCAUCUUAAUCUUAAUCCAGACAACAAACCAAAAACAGACCACCAGGAGACUGAAGACUCAGUGGGUGUUUCAACCUUCCUGUUGAGGAAACCAUUUUCAGGAUGACAUCAUACUGGACACAACUAUCAGCAUUUGGAAACUAAACUGAUUUUCCAAAGCAAUGGCAGCAACAACAUGAGUGACCACAGCAAUAAUAGCAACAACAGCAACAACUGACGUAUGACAACAAACAGCGACAGAAACUGCAACAGUAACAACAUUGGGAGCAACAGCAGCAAUACUUCAACUAUCUACCAGCUUAAAGCAACAGCCGAAGCCUUGAAACCUUUCUCUGAUUUUUCACCUGUACAAACUUUACAACAAGCGCUUAUCUUGUUUCACUUCUGUUUUUAAUUUAAAGUUAUAUGAAAUAACAAUAAAAAAAACUGAAAGGCAACACCCUCAUCGAAGCCAAAGUCAGGUUGCAAACUGCUGGACAGCUUUUGAUAACUACUAACUCUUAUUGAGCUCUUUGAUGAUUUUGGUUGUUUGUGGUGAUGGAUUGUCGUCACUUUUAAAAAAGUCUAUAUGGAUUUUCAUGAAAUUAUAAGAAUUUACAUGAGUAUGAAAAAGAACAAUUGCUUAUUUAAGAAGAAUUUUAUACCUUGAUAGACCCUGUGUUUACAUUUCUUGGACUGGAGUCAAUAAAUGAUUAUAUUCACAAUU